rnacentral:lncRNA from 10 species
UCACAACUUCAGAGUAAAGGAGUUGCUCAUGCCUGCCAGCCAGCCUGUCCCACCACAGCGGGCUCCCCAGCUUAGGGAGGUCUGUGAGCCAUGUGCUAAAUUUCUCUUUAGAGCUAAAUCCAUUGAGUGCUAUGAUUCCAGUGCUGUGCAGAAAGCAGAUGUUUCACCUAUCACUUCAGAAAAGUUCACCAGACUUCAUUUUGACAGCUACCUUAGAUCAUCAAGGAGAAAAAGGAAAAAAUGUAAAAACCAGUGGGGCUAGAAGGUGAGUUACAGCUCAGAUUGGGGGGCCUCUGGAUAGCAAAGCAAUGACUGAGAGCGUCAGCCCUACCCACCCCAGAAGUGAGCUCUGGGCCGUGAUGCCAGGUUGUCUGAAAUCACAGUAUCUUAUUUUUUCUCUUCUCUUCCCUGCUCUGCUUCUCAUUUCCUAACAUUUACCUGUUCCUUACAGUCCUUCCUUUUAAAUAAUAUUUUUAAAAUACUGCUUUCCUGAAAACCAUGCUGCACUUCCACAUGAAGUUCUCUCUGACGUUGAGCUUGAUGGAAAAAGGAUGCAGAAGUCAGGAAUAGCAGGUGCUAUACUUAUUUUGGCCAGCAGAGGAUGCACUUGCCCUAAACAGUCAGAGUGACUCUUCCCUAGGACCCUGUUUAUCAAAUUCUUCAUGUUUAAAAGCCAGGGUCUGGCCCCCCACUUAACGAGAUUGUCUCAAGUGGCAUUUCAUCUGUAACUCAAUUUUACAGAAAUCUAGAAAAUACAGGCUCCCCCCACCCUCUCCAGCCCCAAAACACAAAGCGUAGUAAGGCUUUCAUUGCAAGCAUCAGUCUCCAUCUAAUUCCACUUCCACAUAUAAAGAUUUUAAAAUUUCAAUUAAAAAAGAAUCUAUGGUUGAUCCUUUGGUUGGACAACAGUAAGUAAAUGUUGAUUUUAAACUAGUGAGUCAACUACUCUGGCAAUGUUGGUGUAUCUUUGGAAAGAAGGGAAGUGAAUUUAUUAUGCACCAUAUGUCCAUGUGUGGCACAGCACUUAGCUAAACAGUAUUUUGGAGAAAAUAUUUGGUCUUCAACACACACCUAUAUAAAAAAGAUUAGUUCUAUUUCUUCAAUAUGACCUAAACUUCAUCUCAAGUCCAGUUGGUAAGAGAACUAUGAACCUGUUUUUCCUGGUCUGUUGUACAACGGUUCCCUUGUGGACUAAACGGUAAUGUGUUCUGCAUGAAUCCAAGCACAACUGACAUUCACUGUUUUAAAAAACAAAAAAGAGAAACAUUUACUACCUUUUUCAGAUCUCAUUUCUGAUGGACCUGAAAAUAUUGUAAGUGGGUAUUUUCUUCAAAUACUCAGAGACUGAAUUCUAACAUGUAAAGAAAAUGCUGACUCACACAUGACUCAGUUUGAAGGUUACAGGGAAGACUAAACAUUUAUUUAGAAGUUACAGUGUUUGUUUUUACAGAGAUAUGUUGCCACGGAUUAUUGAUUCUGGAAGGUUUUUUAAUGCUCAUAGUGCUGUACACAUCUUGGUCUGUUCUCAUGGGCAUCUUAGGAAAAUGUUUCCCGUAGCACCGGAUCCAGCCAUCUGUGUGGGUGUCUCCAGGCUGUGAUACCGUGCCCCUUGCUGUUCCCUCAUGCUCGUGAUGAACCAUGUGCCUGGGAUCCUUCCUCUUGCCAGCUUAUCUGUGGGCCUCCUGCAGCCUCGCCUGCCACUGCAGAGGCCCCAGGUUAGGAGUCUGUCCCGCGCCAGCCUGUGCGGUGCUUUCCUGGGUGACUCCUGUUAGGUGGCAGCUUCUUUAUUUUCCCUCUCCAACCUCAACGGGUAGGACUCCUUAUGUCUCUCCAGAAUUAUAAAACAUAUACAUUUAUUUACAAGUGCAUAAAUAUAUAAAUAUGGCUAUAAUAGAAAAAUAAAUACCAAUUUUCUCUGUC